GAUGAACGCUGGCGGCGUGCCUAAUACAUGCAAGUCGAGCGAACGGACGAGAAGCUUGCUUCUCUGAUGUUAGCGGCGGACGGGUGAGUAACACGUGGAUAACCUACCUAUAAGACUGGGAUAACUUCGGGAAACCGGAGCUAAUACCGGAUAAUAUUUUGAACCGCAUGGUUCAAAAGUGAAAGACGGUCUUGCUGUCACUUAUAGAUGGAUCCGCGCUGCAUUAGCUAGUUGGUAAGGUAACGGCUUACCAAGGCAACGAUGCAUAGCCGACCUGAGAGGGUGAUCAGCCACACUGGAACUGAGACACGGUCCAGACUCCUAAGGGAGGCAGCAGUAGGGAAUCUUCCGCAAUGGGCGAAAGCCUGACGGAGCAACGCCGCGUGAGUGAUGAAGGUCUUCGGAUCGUAAAACUCUGUUAUUAGGGAAGAACAUAUGUGUAAGUAACUGUGCACAUCUUGACGGUACCUAAUCAGAAAGCCACGGCUAACUACGUG
rnacentral:rRNA from 1 species